rnacentral:rRNA from 1 species
AAUGAACGCUGGCGGCACGCCUUAUACAUGCAAGUCGAACGGAACUUAGAAGCUUGCUUCUAAGUUUAGUGGCGGACGGGUGAGUAACGCGUGGGUAUCUACCUUUCGGUGGGGGAUAACCUUUGGAAACAGAGGCUAAUACCGCAUACGCUCUACGGAGGAAAGAUUUAUUGCCGAAAGAUGAACCUGCGUUGGAUUAGCUAGUUGGUGAGGUAAAGGCCCACCAAGGCUACGAUCCAUAACUGGUCUGAGAGGAUGGCCAGUCACACUGGGACUGAGACACGGCCCAGACUCCUACGGGAGGCAGCAGUAGGGAAUAUUGGACAAUGGGGGAAACCCUGAUCCAGCGAUGUCGCGUGUAUGAAGAAGGCCUUCGGGUUGUAAAAUACUUUCAAUAGCGAAGAUUAUGACGGUAACUAUAGAAGAAGCACCGACUAACUCUG